UUGGAGGGCAAGUCUGGUGCCAGCAGCCGCGGUAAUUCCAGCUCCAAUAGCGUAUAUUAAAGUUGUUGCAGUUAAAAAGCUCGUAGUUGAAUUUCGGGGUUAGUAGGUUGGUCAUGCCUCUGGUAUGUACUGGUCUCACUGAUUCCUCCUUCCCGAUGAACCUUAAUGCCAUUUAUUUGGUGUUUUGGGGAAUUUGGACUGUUACUUUGAAAAAAUUAGAGUGUUUAAAGCAAGCUAACGCUUGAAUACAUUAGCAUGGAAUAAUGAAAUAGGACGUUCGAUCCUAUUUUGUUGGUUUCUAGGAUUGACGUAAUGAUUAAUAGGGAUAGUUGGGGGCAUUAGUAUUCAAUUGUCAGAGGUGAAAUUCUUGGAUUUAUUGAAGACUAACUACUGCGAAAGCAUUUGCCAAGGAUGUUUUCAUUAAUCAAGAACGAAAGUUAGGGGAUCGAAGACGAUCAGAUACCGUCGUAGUCUUAACCAUAAACUAUGCCGACUAGGGAUCGGAUGAUGUUAAUUUUUUAAUGACUCAUUCGGCGCCUUACGGGAAAC
rnacentral:rRNA from 1 species